rnacentral:rRNA from 1 species
GACGUAGGGCGCGAGCGUUGUCCGGAUUUAUUGGGCGUAAAGAGCUCGUAGGCGGCUUGUUGCGUCGACCGUGAAAACCCGGGGCUCAACUUCGGGCUUGCGGUCGAUACGGGCGGGCUAGAGUUCGGUAGGGGAGACUGGAAUUCCUGGUGUAGCGGUGAAAUGCGCAGAUAUCAGGAGGAACACCGGUGGCGAAGGCGGGUCUCUGGGCCGAUACUGACGCUGGAGGUGCGAAAGCGUGGGGAGCAAACAG